rnacentral:rRNA from 1 species
UGCGCAGGCGGUUAUGUAAGACAGAGGUGAAAUCCCCGGGCUCAACCUGGGAACUGCCUUUGUGACUGCAUAGCUAGAGUACGGUAGAGGGGGAUGGAAUUCCGCGUGUAGCAGUGAAAUGCGUAGAUAUGCGGAGGAACACCGAUGGCGAAGGCAAUCCCCUGGACCUGUACUGACGCUCAUGCACGAAAGCGUGGGGAGCAAACA